rnacentral:snRNA from 1 species
UAACAUGGAGCUGGCUAGGACAUCUGUCACCCCAUUGCUCACGGGGAUUGAUUCACCUGAUCUGGCUGACGAGGCAGGUGUACCCUUCCUCUCCGACCACUCCUGGUACAUUCUUCCUCAAGCUGCUCACAUACAUGGUCAAGGAGGACUCCACCCCCACCCACCCCCCACUCUGGAGAGUGAAUAGAGGAAGGCCAAUGAGUGGAGUAACUGAGCUCCCCUGCUAGGACCUCCAAACAGGUUCUCAAAAAUUAGUAACACAAAUCACUUCAUUUAAUCACCUAGAUCCUGAAUUUCUAUGGAACCAGGAGGGGAUUAUUCAGAUUUUU